rnacentral:rRNA from 1 species
GCGGCAUGCCUUACACAUGCAAGUCGAGCGGCAGCGCGGGGGCAACCCUGGCGGCGAGCGGCGAACGGGUGAGUAAUGCAUCGGAACGUGUCCUCUUGUGGGGGAUAACCAGUCGAAAGACUGGCUAAUACCGCAUGAGAUCGAGAGACGAAAGCAAGGGACCGCAAGGCCUUGCGCGAGAGGAGCGGCCGAUGCCGGAUUAGCUAGUUGGUGGGGUAACGGCCUACCAAGGCGACGAUCUGUAGCUGGUCUGAGAGGACGACCAGCCACACUGGGACUGAGACACGGCCCAGACUCCUACGGGAGGCAGCAGUGGGGAAUUUUGGACAAUGGGGGCAACCCUGAUCCAGCCAUGCCGCGUGUGUGAAGAAGGCCUUCGGGUUGUAAAGCACUUUCGGACGGAACGAAAUCGCGCGGGUUAAUAGUCCGCGUGGAUGACGGUACCGUAAGAAGAAGCACCGGCUAACUACGUGCCGGCAGCCGCGGUAAUACGUAGGGUGCGAGCGUUAAUCGGAAUUACUGGGCGUAAAGUGUGCGUAGGCGGCCGCGCAAGUCGAGUGUGAAAUCCCCGAGCUUAACUUGGGAAUUGCGCUCGAAACUACGUGGCUGGAGUGUGGCAGAGGAAGGUGGAA